UAUAGUCAAUAAUUAGAUAUAGUAAUAUGGAGAAGACAAAACAAAAUUGUUUGAAGCACCGACAGAACCGGAAGCGCCCCUUGUUUCAAAGAGAGGAGGAUGGGUUAUUCACAUUUCAUUUGAUGGUUAGAGGCAAAUUGAAAGCUAAGCAAUGGUAAUUCUAAAGAUCCCCCGGGGGAAAAAUAAAGAUGUCUCCUACAUUACCCGUAAUAUGU